rnacentral:rRNA from 1 species
UACGAAGGGGGCUAGCGUUGUUCGGAAUUACUGGGCGUAAAGCGCGCGCAGGCGGCUAUCCAAGUCAGUGGUGAAAGCCCGGAGCUCAACUCCGGAACUGCCAUUGAAACUGUUUAGCUUGAGGAUGAGAGAGGUGAGUGGAAUUCCCAGUGUAGAGGUGAAAUUCGCAGAUAUUGGGAAGAACACCAGUGGCGAAGGCGGCUCACUGGACCGACACUGACGCUGAGGCGCGAAAGCGUGGGGAGCAAACAGG